rnacentral:rRNA from 1 species
AUGGCUUCCUCCGCCGGCGUCUCCCUCAACCUUGGAUCGCCGCCGUCUGAGAAGCUCGCAAGAGGUAAUUUCAUCCUCUGGAAGACGCAGGUCCUCCCAGCCCUGCGAGACGCGCAGGUGACGGGGCUCCUGGACAACACCGAUGCCGCUCCACCCAAGAUGGUGGAGAUCACGAAGGCAGACAAGACCACGGCCCUAGAGCCGAAUCCCCUAUACGGACCCUGGAUCGCCAAAGAUCAGCAGGUUCUAUCAUACCUUCUCAAUUCCAUGUCUCCAGAAAUUCUUGCACAAGUUGUUGGGAAAGAUUCCACCUUUGAGCUCUGGACGACGGUGACAAAUCUCUUCGCCUCACAAUCUCAGUCUCGGAUUACUAAUCUGAGAAUCGCCAUCACCAAUAUCAAGAAGGGCUCGAUGUCAAGCUCGGCGUAUAUGGCGAAGAUGAAAAGUCUUGGGGAUGAACUAGCUGCUGCAGGUCGUCCCGUAUCUGAUCCGGAGAUGGUGGACUAUAUUCUGGCCGGACUGGACCGCGACUACGACCCCGUGGUGGCGGCGAUCGGCGCUGUCAAAAACAUCAUCACAGCCGACGAUCUUUUUGCCCAGAUUGCUGCCUUUGAUCAAAGGAUGGAGAUGCUAGGCGACUCAUCUUCAGGCGGGUUCUAUUCAUCCGCUAAUGCGGUCUACAGAGGCCGUGGCCAGUCCCGUGGCAGAUCUCGCGGGCGUGGAGGAAGAGGCCGUGGCCGUGGUGAUCGUGGUGACCGCGGUGACCGACAGUCGUCUUCCUCCAAUGGAGGCGGCGAAUUCAGAGGUCGUCCUCGACAACAACAGCAACAGCAGGCUCGUGAGCAACAGCAUGACUAUUCAGAAUGUCAGAUAUGCUACAGACACCAUCCAGGAGGUGCACGAGUUUGCUGA